UCGUCUAAACAUUUCUUUUUUUCUUUUGUGUUGGUGUGUGCGUCGCGUGUGCCCGAGCGGAGGAGAGGGAGCGGGUACUUCAGUAGCGGCGCCGGCGGCGGGUACGGCCGACGAAGGCCGCUGGAGGCCGCGUCUCGCCGUGCGAGGUUCGACGGGUGCCAGGCGCGGAGGGAGGGGAGGUAGAUCUGAGAGACGAGGGCCUGAGAUGUCGGGCGAGCGUUGGUGUGUGGGUACCGAUCCCAAAGCCCGUACCGAAGCGGCCGCGCAGAGGCCACCAGGUUUCAAGAAGAAAGGAAGGAAGAACCGGCUCUAGGCGACGGGGAUGUAGAGUGGAAGAGAAGUAUAGGAGACGACCUCUACGUCAACCCCGUGCGGUACCCUCAAGGGGUAGGUGGUGCCAGCAGCGGCAGUUCCCUAAGAAGUUCCUCUACAGUUCCUGCGGUACCUGUACGUCGAGGAGUUCGCCCCCUAGUGUCUAAGUGUCUACAUUCCUAGCCCUCUUAACCCGGAGUGUAAUAAAAAAGGUCUUAACCCACAACCACGAGAGAUUUGACUUAACUCACUCGAUUUAGACACGUAGUUUUAACAUCAGACAUCGAAAUACACAAUGCAGAAUUCUAACUUGAACUUCUAACGGAAACCCUCAUCAAAAUCAACCAUCUACAAAGUCCGAGGUUUAUGCGUGUGUAAUACACGAAUUACACACCGUAUUUGUACUAGUCAAAAUACGAAUCUUUGGUUUAGUGACAGGUGGGUAAAAUAAAGAAGUACUCAUAAAACACAACUUUAGUCUAGUGGCAAGUGGACAAGAGC
rnacentral:rRNA from 1 species